UUACGGCCACAUCAGGUUGAAAAACCGAUUCCCGUACGAUCACCGAAGUUAAGCAACGUUGAGCUUAGUUAGUAACUAGAUGGGUAACCGCUUGGUAAUAUCAAGUGUUGUAAG